CCUCCCAGAUGUCCCAACUCCAGGUGUCCCUUGAUAACCAUGUAAGGGGCACAGGCAGUGCAGGUGUCAACAGAUCCCUGUUUCCUCCUCAUUAUCCCACUGCCUUGCUGGACUGUCUGCUCUUGGAAACUUCCUUUGAAGGCUUUAAUAGCAGCAUUCAUUUCUGCUGCAGAUAAGGAGCCCAGCCUGCAAAAGAAUGACCAAGUGACAGAGACCCAACGUGGUGAUGAAAGCUGGCAGAGACAUCCAGGGACAGAACCUCUCCAUGCUGCUCACACAGAGGACAUGCUGAUGUAUUUGGUAUUUAUUCAUUUUUUUUUUCCUGUCUACACAUCCUACAGCACUUCACAGUAUGGGAAACACUGCAUGGGACUGACUUCCUGCCAGAUGCUGAACUUCCACAGCUCCAGCUGCUCCAAGGGGCCACCAAAGUGCCCAACCCCUCACUGAGGGCUCUGCAGCACCCAGCAGGGACUUUUUCCUUCUACACAAUUGGCCAUCACUGGUAAAUGUGCCCUAGAACAAGGCAGGAGAUUCAUUAAGGACUGAUCCAAAGGCUUUCUGUGCAGCACAGCAUCGUGUCCUCUUCAUUUCAAAGCCAGCCUGUGAGAGAGCUGGGUUGGGAGGCAGAAGGAAAACAUCAUGGCAGGAAUAUUGGUGUAUUUUGGAUGCAAAGCAGAAGCUUAUCUGUUUUACUACUGCAGCACCAGAGAAAAUCAAUUUUGACACAGAACUGCCACUUUACAAGAAAAUAACUAUACUUUCCAAUAACCUAAUCUGUGCAAAGCCUACUGAAAAUUCCCUAAAGAACCAGUAGUUAAAACCUCCAUUAAAUCAAAGGGUUUAAUAUGGGAAGGGAAGAGAGGAUGCAGUUUGACUUGGGAAUGUAAUGGACUCAGUG